rnacentral:rRNA from 1 species
GACGAACGCUGGCGGCGUGCUUAACACAUGCAAGUCGAACGGAAAGGCCCUGCUUUUGUGGGGUGCUCGAGUGGCGAACGGGUGAGUAACACGUGAGUAACCUGCCCUUGACUUUGGGAUAACUUCAGGAAACUGGGGCUAAUACCGGAUAGGAGCUCCUGCUGCAUGGUGGGGGUUGGAAAGUUUCGGCGGUUGGGGAUGGACUCGCGGCUUAUCAGCUUGUGGGUGGGGUAGUGGCUUACCAAGGCUUUGACGGGUAGCCGGCCUGAGAGGGUGACCGGCCACAGUGGGACUGAGAUACGGCCCAGACUCCUACGGGAGGCAGCAGUGGGGAAUAUUGCACAAUGGGCGGAAGCCUGAUGCAGCAUCUCCGCGUGCGGGAUGACUGCCUUCGGGUUGUAAACCGCUUUCGCCUGUGACGAAGCGUGAGUGACGGUAAUGUGUAAAGAAGCACCGGCUAACUACGUG